rnacentral:rRNA from 1 species
AGACAGCAGUAGCCGCGGUAAUACAGAGGGUGCGAGCGUUAAUCGGAUUUACUGGGCGUAAAGCGUGCGUAGGCGGCUUCUUAAGUCGGAUGUGAAAUCCCUGAGCUUAACUUAGGAAUUGCAUUCGAUACUGGGAAGCUAGAGUAUGGGAGAGGAUGGUAGAAUUCCAGGUGUAGCGGUGAAAUGCGUAGAGAUCUGGAGGAAUACCGAUGGCGAAGGCAGCCAUCUGGCCUAAUACUGACGCUGAGGUACGAAAGCAUGGGGAGCAAACAGGAUUAGAUACCCCUGUAGUCCCUGUCUCUUAUAA